CCUACGGGGGGCUGCAGUGGGGAAUUUUGGACAAUGGGCGCAAGCCUGAUCCAGCUAUUCCGCGUGUGGGAAGACUGCCUUCGGGUUGUAAACCACUUUUGUAGAGAACGACAAGUCUGUUGAUAAUACCGAUAGAUGAUUACGGUACUCUAAGAAUAAGCACCGGCUAACUACGUGCCAGCAGCCGCGGUAAUACGUAGGGUGCGAGCGUUAAUCGGAAUUACUGGGCGUAAGGGGUUUGCAGGCGGUUUUGCAAGAUGGAUGUGAAAGCCCCGGGCUUAACCUGGGAAAGCCAGACAUGACUGCAAGACUAGAGUGCGUCAGAGGGGGGUGGAAUUCCAAGUGUAGCAGUGAAAUGCGUAGAUAUUUGGAAGAACACCGAUGGCGAAGGCAGCCCCCUGGGACGCAACUGACGCUCAUACACGAAAGCGUGGGGAGCAAACAGGAUUAGAUACCCCGGUAGUC
rnacentral:rRNA from 1 species